rnacentral:rRNA from 1 species
GAAGUCGUAACAAGGUAGCCGUAGGGGAACCUGCGG